rnacentral:rRNA from 1 species
AGUGAACGCUGGCGGUAGGCCUAACACAUGCAAGUCGAACGGCAGCACAGUAAGAGCUUGCUCUUACGGGUGGCGAGUGGCGGACGGGUGAGGAAUACAUCGGAAUCUACUUUUUCGUGGGGGAUAACGUAGGGAAACUUACGCUAAUACCGCAUACGACCUACGGGUGAAAGCAGGGGAUCUUCGGACCUUGCGCGAUUGAAUGAGCCGAUGUCGGAUUAGCUAGUUGGCGGGGUAAAGGCCCACCAAGGCGACGAUCCGUAGCUGGUCUGAGAGGAUGAACCCGCCCACCGGGACGUGGAAACCGGCCCGACCCCCACGGGGGGGCCGCGGGGGGAAAUUUUGGAAAGUGGGGCCAAGCCUGACCCAGCCCACCCGGUGGGGGAAAGAAGGCCUUCGGGUUGUAAACCCCUUUUUUUGGGAAAAAAAAGCGGCGGGUUAAUACCCCGCUGUUUUGCCGGUACCCAAAAAAAAACCCCCGGCAACCUUCGU